rnacentral:tRNA from 1 species
GCCGACGUAGCUCAACGGUAGAGCGCCUGAUUUGUAAUCAGAUGGUUGGGGGUUCGAUUCCCUUCGUCGGCUCCA